UACGAAGGGUGCAAGCGUUACUCGGAAUUACUGGGCGUAAAGCGUGCGUAGGUGGGUUGUUAAGUCUGUUGUGAAAGCCCCGGGCUCAACCUGGGAAUGGCAAUGGAUACUGGCAAGCUAGAGUGCGGUAGAGGGGUGUAGAAUUCCCGGUGUAGUGGUGGAAUGCGUAGAUAUCGGGAGGAAUACCAGUGGCGAAAGCGGCACCCUAGCAUUUUUUCUGACGCUCAUGUGCGAAAGCGUGGGGAGCGAACGGG
rnacentral:rRNA from 1 species